rnacentral:tRNA from 1 species
AAGGGAGACCUAAUUCGGGUAGGAGACGAAAAAAAAGUAGUCGCUACCAAGAAUCAAUCCCAAAAGGUCGGAGCGAGGCGAAAUUGGCUUUCAAACUAGGUUCUGGGUUCACACAAGACCUGAAUCAGGAACAAGGGCUAUUAGCUCGGGUGGUUAGAGCGCACCCCUGAUAAGGGUGAGGUCCCUGGUUCGAGUCCAGGAUGGCCCACCUGUACAGGUGGCCAAAACCAAGAAAAGAAGCGAGGAAUCAGCACCUGCUCUUACCUACAUAGUAAGAGAGAAUGCUGGCUCUGAGUACAGAGUCCAGAGGAACCUUGAAAACUGCAUAGAGCUAGGUGAAAAAGCCAAAAAAGAAGACCGCAUGCAA